CAAACGCCUACUUAGGCUCAUCUGAAAAACUAUUUUAACUGAGAGAGAAGAAGAGGGAAAGAUGAAAAUAAGGGAAUAUAUGGCGUUGGGUUGCUUUGCAAAUUGACAAUUCUAGUAUGAUUCACGUGUUAUCUAGCAAAUUGAUAAUUCUAGGAUGUUGUCAACCUUAUUCCUCACUUCUUGACUAAGAAUUGGGUAGUCUGUAUUGCUUAUAUUGGUGGCCCUUCAUCCCCUCACUUGGGUUCUAGUUAGUUUUUUUGGUUGCUUUGCCUUCUUAAAGAAAAAGUUUGAUUGUUGGAAAAAUUGUCAAAAAGUAGGUUUUGGGUACAAUUUUAGCCAUUUCAUGCCCUUCAUUUUCUGGCAACUGACGCGCAUACCACGAGGCCUUUUAUGGUCGUUUAGACCACACGCUUUUCUUAUUAGUUCGUUAAAAAAAAUAUAUUUUUAUAAUUGAAAAUAAUCUAACUUUAAAAUCUUCAUUUUACACAUUUUAUCCUUAAUGAGAUCACACAAAUAUCAUGAUCCCACAAAGUUUUAAUCCCUUAAGCUUUUAACACCAUAAGUUUCAAAAAUCUUCUUUCUUUUCUUUAAAUUUGGUACGCAAUUAAACUAUCUAAAGUACAAGCUAACGAAUGUAAAAAGAGUUUCCAUGCAAUUGUUGGGUGGUUAUACGGGGGAUGUAGUAUAUAUAUCAUCUUCCCACGGCACCUUACUAAAAUUAACAGAAAAUGUUACUCGACAUUCUCUAAUGAAAACAAUCAUAUAUCUUGAAAAGACUAAACCGAUGGGAUAACUAUCACAUGCGUCAUGAUCGAGCUCGAUGGGGACGUUAGGUUAUAAUCCGAUCAAGUUGUUAAAAAAAAAUCAUAUAGUUUAACACCACAUUCUUCCUGAAAAAUGAGGGGACUAUCUGUAUACGGUCGAAAUAGAUUUCGGCCUUCGUACGUCCGAUCAAGUUCGAAUGAUGAUCGAUCGAAGUGAGACUCCGAAGAUGGAACAAACAAGCCUCGAACCCAAGGGCCGAUCCAUGUCGAGUUCGACGUCGUUAUCGAGUUCGAAUCCAAAUCGAACUAUGAUGCAGAGUAAAGCUAUCAUGCUUAUGAUUCAGAAACCAACCAACAUUGACCCCGAAUCAAUUCGAGAGCUCGAGUCCGAAUCGAGCUCGGGCCAAGAUCGAGAGCUCGAGUCAAAAUCGAGCUCAAGCCAAGAUCGAGGGCUCGAGGCAAGAUCGAGCUCACGGACAAAAGCCGUUGAAAUUCCACUAGUGAGAAUCUUGGCAGAAAUUGUGGAAAAACUGAUUUAUUAUGGGUCUCCCACUGAGUAUUUUUUAUUAUGCUUAGAGCAAGGUCCAUCUACUAUAAAGGGCAUGGUUAUCAUUUAUGAAAAGGUAGGUUUUGCGAUGCUUACAUUGUAAUUAAAACACUAUAUUCUCCCAUAGAAAAGAAUCGUUCUUUCAGGCUUCUUAAAUUGAUUCUACUUGUUGAGUCCUAAGAUUCAUUUUCUUUACAACCUUAUCUAUUUCGCAUUCUUUGCAGUCCAUAUUUAUAUUUCUAUUUAUCCUUACAAUUUGUAUUAAGUUGCGCCACAUAUCCUUGGAACUACGUAUAAAUUCAACUCUAUCUAUUUUUCGGGUAAACAAAUGCAUCUAUUAUAUUUUAUAUAUAUGGCUUAGUUUGGCGAGAACAAAGUUUAAAAAUAUAAACACAACUUUUAAUCUUGUGGUCUAAAACUAAAAUACGUGUAAUGUACCAAAAAUGGAUUUUGAAUCAUGUGAUUUUUAAAAGGUCGUAUCAUUCCUAUAAGAAAAUGUCAUUAAGAGUAAAUUAGAAACGUUAGGAUUAAAAGCUUACCAAAUAUAUAAAGUGUGGAGUAUUUCUUAAAGAGAAUUAAAUCCAACUCCCCUUUAUUUUCUAGUCUCUCCAUUUCUCCAAGUUCCUACUUAGAUUGGAGAUAUUUCUCAUAGUUAAAUAUCAAAGAAUGAGAUUUAAUUGAAUAAAUUAAAGUCCUAACCAUAGUUAAAGUAUUUAAUUUUUUCUUUUAUCCAUUCCCAAAUAUAAUUUUUGUCUCUCUUAGUAAUAGAACUUCCUAUAGUUCCUCCCUCUUCGUGCCAAAAUACAUAUGCUCUUAAGGCAACACCGAAAAUCAUAGCACCAGAGAAAAUCUUUCAGAUUUUUAUCAUGAAAAUCAAGUUCUUGAAGGUCAUUGUUAGGUUAAAAUCAACAGAAAAAAAUAACAAGUGAAAAAACAGAGAAUAAGACAGGAAGUCACGAAACUUCAUUUUUCUGGUAAUAUCUCACCAAUUUUUGUCAGGUUUUACUUUAUCCAUUAAUUCGAUUCCUUAGAACUCAGAUACUUUAUGCUUUUCUUGGUGUGGCAAAUGUCAAGUGAAAAAUUAUAUACUAUGUGUUUGUGAAAUUUACUAUCCGAACUCUUUGGUAUGGGAAGAAUGGACUCUGAUAUUUGAAUUUCUUGACUGAACCUUUUCGUGUGGAAUUUCGAUACUUAAUUAUUCUAUUCUUUGGUCUACUAGCUAGAUAUUAUUUGGGAAUUGAUAAAAGAAGAAAUUAAAUACUUUAAUAAUGAUUAGAGAUUUAAACUAUUCAAUUAAAUUUUAUUUAUUAAUUUUAAUCAUGAUAAGUAUCUCUAAUCCAACGGACAUGGAGAAAUCAAAAGACUAGAAAUGAAUGGGAGUUGAAUCUAUAAAAAAAAGUAAGACCUAUAUAUAAACGAAAAAAGAGGAAGUACUUGACAAUACUCUAUCAUUCUCAAAUUGAAAAACUAAUGAUUUAACACAAUAUUUCUACUUUGGUCCUAUUAAUUUCGGCGGUUUCCAAUGCAAGGGCUUUGAGUGGACCGCAGACUGUGAUGUUCAAAUUUGGAUCCAUUAUUACUAUAACUCAUUUUGUCCAUAAAUGUUUUUUUUACGAUUUGUUUUUUCAAAAAAUGUGGUUGUCCAUAAAUUUUUGUAAGUGAGAUUUUUAAAAAUGAGUGUUUCAAUAAAUUUUUGAAAUUUUUUCCCCCACUCAUAAAAUUGAAUAUAUUUUUCAAGUGAAAUGCAUGUCCAAAUAUAAUUAUAAAUUCUAAAUAUUAUUUUUCAACUUAACUCCAAAUAUCACUUUUUAAAAUUUUUACUUUUUACGGCCUACUUAGGCGCAUCUGAAAAACUAGUUUUUAACGGAGAGAGAAGUAGAGGGAAAGAUGAAAAUAAGGGAAUAUAUGGUGUUGGGUUGCUUUGCAAAUUGACAAUUCUAGUAUGAUUCACGUGUUAUCUAGCAAAUUGAUAAUUCUAGGAUGUUGUCAACCAUAUUCCUCACUUCUUGACUAUGAAUUGGGUAGUCUGUAUUGCUUAUAUUGGUGGCCCUUCAUCCCCUCACUUGGGUUCUAGUUAGUUUUUUUGGUUGCUUUGCCUUCUUAAAGAAAAAGUUUGAUUGUUGGAAAAAUUAUCAAAAAGUAGGUUUGGGGUACAAUUUUAGCCAUUUCAUGCCCUUCAUUUUCUGGCAACUGACGCAUACCACGAGGCCUUUUUUGGUCGUUUAGACCACACGCUUUUCUUAUUAGUUCAUUAAAAAAAAUAUGUUUUUACAGUUAGAAAUAAUCUAACUUUAAAAUCUUCAUUUUAUAUAUUUUACCCUUAAU
rnacentral:lncRNA from 1 species